rnacentral:rRNA from 1 species
CACGUGAGGGCGCAAGCGUUGUCCGGAAUUAUUGGGCGUAAAGAGCUCGUAGGCGGUCUGUCGCGUUCGGCUGUGAAAUCCCGAGGCUCAACCUCGGGUCUGCAGUCGAUACGGGCAAACUAGAGUAUUGCAGGGGAGACUGGAAUUCCUGGUGUAGCGGUGAAAUGCGCAGAUAUCAGGAGGAACACCGGUGGCGAAGGCGGGUCUCUGGGCAAUAACUGACGCUGGAGGAGCGAAAGCCGUGGGGGAGCGAAACAGG